UACAGUGUCUUUUAGGCACGUGGGUCAAAAUUCUAGGACACAAAUGAAGAAAGUGAGGCUCAAAUUUCUUUUGGAGAAUCGUUUUAUUACUUCGGCUGACUGGAGCUCAGCUGCAGGAGCUGGAGAGGAAAGAGACUUUAUCCUGGUUUAAGAGAAAAGACGUGGGAAGCUCCAGAGGGAACGGGCUUCAGGAGCGGUAACUCUGUAACACCGGAGUGAAAUUUGCAGUCACCAGGGCGGCGGUGGUGACAGAGUAAAGGGAGAAGGGAGAGAGGCAGAGAGGGAGAGGGGAGCAGAUACUUGGGAACGCAUCGCAGCAGGACAGACAGUCGACUCUGAAGGCGCUCAGCCGGCGACGGAGACGGAGGAGGAAGGUGUCGGUGAUGUCGUGGGGUUCGUGUGUGGGUUUAGGGUGCAGGAUGACGGCUGCCAAGAUCCUCCUUCCCUUCCUUGUUCUUCAGUCAUUUUGUGAAGGCUCCAAUCAGCCGCCACGCUUUCUGAACUACUUUUUUUCAACUUACCUCCUCAUCUAUGAAGACAUGCCUAUUGG